GCUCCAGUGGCCUAGUGGUUAGAGUAUCUGCCUUGGAUGCAGGAGGACAUGGGUUUGAUCCUCAUCCAAGACA